GUCCACGGCCAUGCCACCCUGAACAAGCCCGAUGUCUGAUCUCGGAAGCUAAGCAGGGUCGGGCCUGGUUAGUACUUGGAUGGGAGACCACCUAGGAAGAGCAGGUGCUAUAGGCG
rnacentral:rRNA from 1 species